ACUUGUCCCUAACCUGGCCCACAAUUGCCAACUAAGUCUAAGACAGCAAUUCAUUUUCAUCCUAAAUCAGAACCCAACCCAACUAGAAUCCUAAUCCCUAGUUUCAUUACAACUAAAAACAACCCUUAAUGACACUGCCACCACUAUCGUAUCCCUUACACCAUCGACCUCUCAUAUCUGACCAAUCCUUUCCCCCUACUGUUGAAGACGUUUCCACCUUUGACCCGAAAAGAACGCAAAUAUCUCGUGGGUUUUGUAUCUAUCUUCGCUCGACUCAACAGAUAAUAGCAAAUCCUCUGCCCAACUGCUCUAACACGUCAAAUCCUAUCUGAAAAGGUGAGACUAUUCACUCUUUUUCAUCAUCUCCUUUGUUGAAAAUGUUUUCCCAGAAUUUUCCCCCCUUUGCUUGAUUCGAAAUUUGAACUUACAGUUUCUUGAAGAAGCUUUUAGAAACCCCUCAGUAUUUUGCUAUAAAUACAGAACCUUGUGGGCUGUUUUGAAGAAGUUUUCAGAGGUUAAAAUCCCCCUUUGAACAAGCUCUUCAUUUUAGGGAAAAUCCCCUUUUCGUACUCACUAUUUCGCAAGCUUUCCAUUUGCAGAAAAGUCCCUCUUCAUCACUACUAUUGGACUCUCUUUUCAUUUUCUAUACUUUGGUCUUAAUCUUCUCUCAACAACAAAAACUACGACUAGUGGAUUCGACGACUCGACGCCUCCCCUCACCUCAGUUCGCUGUCCGGAGAAGUUGGGAGCAUUUGGAGUUAUGGCAACUCUGAAUUCCGCCCACAUCAAUGAAAAAACUGGUAGCAGCCUCCUUUGCUCGUGUCUGGCAGCCUUUGUUCGUGUCAAAGAGUCCACGUCCUUCUUCCUCUCUUUAAAUUUUGUGUCCUUGUAUACAUAAGAUAUUACAGUCUUUGACUAACAUUUUGUGAUUUGUAUUCAUAGCUUAUCUAUUUAACUCUCAAGCGGUGACAAAGAGCCCAUUUGGAUUGGCUUAUAAGUUGCUCAAAACAUCUUAUAAGCUGUUUUCAGUUUUUUUUAGUGUUUGACUGGCCAGUUAAAGUCAUUUUGUGCAUAAAAUAAGCCCCAAAAAAUAAUUGGGCCCAUUUGGCUUAGCUUAUCUAAAGCAGUUUAUAAAUAAAAAACAGUUUAUAUGUUGCUUUUUUU